GGGGUUGGGGAUUUAGCUCAGUUGGUAGAGCGCUUGCCUAGGAAGCGCAAGGCCCUGGGUUCGGUCCCCAGCUCC
rnacentral:tRNA from 1 species